rnacentral:lncRNA from 10 species
AUACACACACACGCAGUGUGUCUAUAUACACAUACACACGAUGUGUGUCUAUAUACACAUACAUACACACACAGUGUGCCUAUAUACACAUAUAUACACACACACAGUGUGCCUAUAUACACAUAUAUACACACACAGUGUGUAUAUAGACCCACACACACACACACACAGUGUGUAUAUAGACCCACACAUACACACACACACAGUGUGUAUGUAGACACACACACACACACACAGUAUGUAGACACACACACACACACAAUGUGUAUGUAGACACACACACACACACAGUAUGUAGACCCACACACACACACAAUGUGUAUGUAGACCCACACACACACAGUGUGUAUGUAGACCCACACACACACAGUGUGUAUGUAGACCCACACACACACACACACAGUGUGUAUGUAGACCCACACACACACACACACACACACACAGUGUGUAUGUAGACCCACACACACACACACACACACAGUGUGUAUGUAGACCCACACACACACACACACACACAGUGUGUAUGUAGACCCACACACACACACACACAGUGUGUAUGUAGACCCACACACACACACACACAGUGUGUAUGUAGACACACACACACACAGUGUGUAUGUAGACACACACACACACAGUGUGUAUGUAGACACACACACACACACAGUAUGUAGACACACACACAUACACACAGUGUGUAUGUAGACACACACACAUACACACAGUGUGUAUGUAGACACACACACAUACACACAGUGUGUAUGUAGACACACACACAUACACACACAGUGUGUAUGUAGACACACACACACACAGUGUGUAUGUAGACACACACACACACACACAGUGUGUAUGUAGACACACACACACACACACACAGUGUGUAUGUAGACACACACACACACACACAGUGUGUAUGUAGACACACACACACACAGUGUGUAUGUAGACACACACACACACACAGUGUGUAUGUAGACACACACACACACAGUGUGUAUGUAGACACACACACACACAGUGUGUAUGUAGACACAUACACACACAGUGUGUAUGUAGACACACACAUACACACACAGUGUGUAUGUAGACACACACAUACACACACAGUGUGUAUGUAGACACAUAUAUACACACACAGUGUGUAUGUAGACACACAUACACACACAGUGUUAUAUAUAGACACACAUACACACACACAGUGUGUAUAUAUAUACACACACACACGGUGUGUAUAUAUAUACACAUAUACACACACACGGUGUGUAUAUAUAUACACAUAUACACACACACGGUGUGUUUAUAUAUACACAUAUACACACACACGGUGUGUGUAUACAUACACAUGUAUACACACAUACGGUGUGUGUAUACAUACGCGUAUACACACACACACACACACGCACACACACACAUAUAUGUGUGUGUGCUCAGCCCUCUAUAUCCAUGAGUUCUGAAUCCGUGGAUUCAACGAACUGUCGGUAAAACAUAUUUCAGAAAAUUUCAAAAAGUAAAACUUGAAUUUAUUGUGCAUUGAAUACUACAUUGAAUACACACAAAGAAAGUGAUGCAUAGGUAUUGUAUUACAUAUUAUAAGUAAUCUAGAGGUUAUUUAAAAUAUACUGGAGGAUGUGCACUUGCAUACAAAUACUAUGCCGUUUUAUAUAAGGGACACUAGCUUUUGUAUAUUUUGGUAUUUGCAGGGGGUCCUGGAAACAAUCUCCCAUGGACAGAGAGAGAUGACUCUGUGUGUGUGUGUGUGUGUGUGUGUGUGUGUGUGUGUGUACACGUGAGUGCCUGUGUGUGUGAGUGUGUGUGUAAUUUUUUAAGAAAUAAUGGGCGAUGGAGGAUGGCGUAUAGGAGCAGAAGAUCAUGGAGGUGACAACCCAUUUCCUGCCCUUGCUCCCUCCCCUGCCACAGGUGCUAGUCUUAGGUGAAGCCAUUUCAGAUAAUAAGCUCUUCUUCGCAUCUUCACUUCUCACUGUCAUCUUUCUCUCCUCUCUAUAUUUCUCAG